rnacentral:rRNA from 1 species
AAGUCGAGCGAAGUUUUUCUGGUGCUUGCACUAGAAAAACUUAGCGGCGAACGGGUGAGUAACACGUAAAGAACCUGCCUUAUAGACUGGGACAACUAUUGGAAACGAUAGCUAAUACCGGAUAACAGCAUUAACUGCAUGGUUGAUGUUUGAAAGUUGGUUUUGCUAACACUAUGAGAUGGCUUUGCGGUGCAUUAGCUAGUUGGUGGGGUAAAGGCCUACCAAGGCGACGAUGCAUAGCCGACCUGAGAGGGUGAUCGGCCACACUGGGACUGAGACACGGCCCAGACUCCUACGGGAGGCAGCAGUAGGGAAUCUUCCGCAAUGGGCGAAAGCCUGACGGAGCAACGCCGCGUGAGUGAAGAAGGAUUUCGGUUCGUAAAGCUCUGUUGUUAGGGAAGAAUGAUUGUGUAGUAACUAUACACAGUAGAGACGGUACCUAACCAGAAAGCCACGGCUAACUACGUGCCAGCAGCCGCGGUAAUACGUAGGUGGCAAGCGUUGUCCGGAAUUAUUGGGCGUAAAGCGCGCGCAGGUGGUUUAAUAAGUCUGAUGUGAAAGCCCACGGCUCAACCGUGGAGGGUCAUUGGAAACUGUUAAACUUGAGUGCAGGAGAGAAAAGUGGAAUUCCUAGUGUAGCGGUGAAAUGCGUAGAGAUUAGGAGGAACACCAGUGGCGAAGGCGGCUUUUUGGCCUGUAACUGACACUGAGGCGCGAAAGCGUGGGGAGCAAAC